rnacentral:sRNA from 1 species
AUGUACCACGCGUACACUCCGGUUCUGAGCGCGCCGCCCGCACCCACUUGACGACCGCUCGCGACGUUUUGUUAGCA